ACUUUCAUGGCGAAGGGCAGACAUGCAAAUCCCAUCCAAAGUGUCCACGCAGAAGUGGCAAAUGUGAUGACUGUUCACAUCCCAUUGGCCAAAGCACGUCCCAAGGCCAAGGCCAAAGUCAGCGAGGCGGGGAUAUACGUAUACUCCUCUUGGAUUCUCAGAUAAGCAAAUGACAGCAGGAGACCCCUUGUCACAGGGAAGAGAGAACAGUGAAGAGCAAGGAUCUGAUCCACCAAAAUUUCCUUGUUGCCCAAUCAAAAUAUGACUUUAGGGAAGUCGGUCACCCUUUCUGGAUCUCAGUUUCUGAUCUUUAAAACAAGGAAGUUGGCUUCAGGAAGCAAAGAACAUAAUAGAAAGAAUCAGCUGUAUCUGAGUUCAUGUUCCUUCUGCACCACAGACUAGCUGUGUGAUCUUUGGAUUUCAAGGACUGUGACUUUCAUCUUCGACCAGCCACCAUGUGCAGACCUCGGCUCUGAGCCUCGUAGGGUUAGAGCCCCCUGCCUGGCCUCACCUUCAUCUAUGUAACCCAGUGGGUCCUGCCCUCACCAUGUAGACCCCACUUCUCCAGGGAGCCCUCUGUGUCCCGGCCACCCCCAGGGGUCCGUGCCCUCCUCUGCCCCCUUGCCCUCGGGCCUCGGGGGCCUCUGUCACGACCCUCACCAUCCUGCAUUGGAGCUGCCUGAUUUCUCCCUCUGUCCUGCCUGAUGGUGCAACCCCCUGCUGCAGGAACUGGGGCUUAUUUCUCUUUAUGCAAGCAUGCAGCGCAGGGUGGGAGGCACAUAGGUGCUCUGUGAGUAUUUGUUGAAUGAAUUAAUGAACGUGGUUCUGUCCUGUCCAAGCAAGCCGCUGAUCCCCACAAAGAGCAGCCACCCUUGCCUAGCAGCAGGCCCUCAAGCUCUCUGGCAGUGGGUGGAGCCAGCGGCCAUCCCAGCCUCUGCUUUUGCAGCCUUCAAUCCUCUAGCUCUCACUUCCUCCCCCUUCUCAGCCUCCCAGGGCCCAGAGAGCUCCCCUCAUUUCUGAGCCUCGCUGUGUAUUUUUCUUUUCCCCAUCGUGGAAUGUUGCAGCACUUAAACUUUAAAAAUAAGGGGAUUGAUUUUUA